GACGAACGCUGGCGGCGUGCCUAAUACAUGCACGUAGGACGCAGUUGCGAACGGGUGAGUAACGCGUAGGUAACUACCUAUUAGAGGGGGCUAACUAUUGGAAACGAUAGCUAAUACCGCAUACUAGUAGAUGGACCUGCGUUGUAUUAGCUAGUAGGUAGGGGAAUGGCCUACCUAGGCAACGAUACAUAGCCGACAUGAGAGGGUGAAAGGCCAAGCUGGGAAUGAGAAACGGGCCAGACUCCUACGGGAGGCAGCAGUAGGGAAUCGUAGGCAAUGGGGGGAACACUGACCGAGCAACGCCGCGUGAGAGAAGAAGGUGUACGGAUCGUAAAGCUCUGUUGUUAAGGAAGCGGUACUUAACCAGAAAGGGACGGCUAACUACGUGCCAGCAGCCGCGGUAAUUC
rnacentral:rRNA from 1 species